GACCGCUCCGGUGGUCUAAUGAUUAGAGCAUUUGCCUCAGAUGCAGGAGGUCGAGGGUUCGAACCACGACCGAGUCA